rnacentral:rRNA from 1 species
AGUGAACGCUGGCGGUAGGCCUAACACAUGCAAGUCGAACGGCAGCACAGUAAGAGCUUGCUCUUACGGGUGGCGAGUGGCGGACGGGAGAGGAAUACAUCGGAAUCUACUUUUUCGUGGGGGUUAACGUAGGGAAACUUACGCUAAUACCGCAUACGACCUACGGGUGAAAGCAGGGGAUCUUCGGACCUUGCGCGAUUGAAUGCGCCGAUGUCGGAUUAGCUAGUUGGCGGGGUAAAGGCCCACCAAGGCGACGAUCCGUAGCUGGUCUGAGAGGAUGAUCAGCGACAUUGGAGCUGAGACACGGACCAGACUACUACGGGAGGCAGCAGUGGGGAAUAUUGGACAAUGGGCGCAAGCCUGAUCCAGCCAUACCGCGUGGGUGAAGAAGGCCCUCGGGUUGUAAAGCCCUUUUGUUGGGAAAGAAAAGCAGCAGGUUAAUACCCCGCUGUUCUGACGGUACCCAAAGAAUAAGUACCGGCUAACUUCGUG